UACGGAGGGGGCUAGCGUUGUUCGGAAUUACUGGGCGUAAAGCGCCCGUAGGCGGAUCAGUCAGUUAGAGGUGAAAUCCCAGGGCUCAACCCUGGAACUGCCUUUAAUACUGCUGGUCUGGAGGUCGAGAGAGGCGAGUGGAAUUCCGAGUGUAGAGGUGAAAUUCGUAGAUAUCGAGAGGAACACCGGUGGCGAAAGCGGCCAACUGGACGAAUACUGACGCUGAGACACGAAAGCGUGGGGAGCAAACAGG
rnacentral:rRNA from 1 species